GGUGAACGCUGGCGGCGUGCCUAAUACAUGCAAGUCGAGCGAACAGACGAGAGUGCUUGCACUCUCUGACGUUAGCGGCGGACGGGUGAGUAACACGUGGGUAACCUACCUAUAAGACUGGGAUAACUUCGGGAAACCGGAGCUAAUACCGGAUAAUAUUUAGCUUCGCAUGAAGCAAUAGUGAAAGACGGUUCUGCUGUCACUUAUAGAUGGACCCGCGGUGUAUUAGCUAGUUGGUGAGGUAACGGCUCACCAAGGCAACGAUACAUAGCCGACCUGAGAGGGUGAUCGGCCACACUGGGACUGAGACACGGCCCAGACUCCUACGGGAGGCAGCAGUAGGGAAUCUUCCGCAAUGGACGAAAGUCUGACGGAGCAAUGCCGCGUGAGUGAAGAAGGUUUUCGGAUCGUAAAACUCUGUUGUAAGGGAAGAACAAGUACGUUAGUAACUGAACGUACCUUGACGGUACCUUACCAGAAAGCCACGGCUAACUACGUG
rnacentral:rRNA from 1 species